AGAAAAUAAAGGCUCUCUAUGGUCAGGACGUGACAGGUUAUGGUGUGUAGGGGUUACCGACCGACCAUCAUCAACAUCGCUGACUUCAGAGUCAAAAGUCAGACUGAACCGAGGAGACAACGAGAGUCAAUGGCGCUUGAGUUCCACCUCAUUUAGAUAGACUGAAGUUGACAUAGCUAAUGUUUGCUGUCCAUGUGACCGAAGUGAAGAACAGCUACUGCUGGGAGAGGGAAGGAUUGGAGAGAUGCCUGCAACACAGUGAGGCCCAUGGAUGCAGUAAUGAAACCCUGGCCACUGAUAGGCAUCCAAGUGUGAGGGUGCACUCGAGGGACUCACAUGCUGAUGUCUGGCAUGAGUAUUACCAGUGACACAUUGCCAAAGGUGUGAGGAAACAGCUGGUGGCCAUCGGGAAGCCAGAGGUACUGUCAUAUUUCAUAGUAAAAUCAGAACUAUGGUUUGUGCAACCUAUAUCUGGCUCUAGAACCAUCCCAAUGGACUCUCCUGAAUGCCCAAAGAGAUUGAGUGGCGGUCACUUUGGGUAUGUUCCGAAAAUGGAGAAGGAGCAGGCCAUUCAACAGCGAAUUGAAAAAUACACACACACACAUCCAUAAAGGAAAUCAGAGUGGACUGUUUUUCCACUGAUAUUUUUACCCGUUUCAACGAGCGUGCUACAUUGUCCCAGACCUGCUGUUUUGACUCUCUCUCAUACCUGCUGUCUCCACCUAUGAAUGCUCAGAUAUGAGAAGCCAAUUGACAUUUGCUCCUGGGGUGUUGUAACUUUUUAAAGUGGCAAUCAGCAGUAGAAACAAUAAAAGUGUCCUCCCUUCUCCUCUUUUGGUAAAAAGCUGAGGGAUGGGGCUGGAGAAAUGUAACCACUUUCAAAUUCAUAGAGCUAUAGAAUCCAUUAUAUCAAAAUGAUAGUUUUAACCAUGUUUUGAGGCUGUAAUGUGUUUGCUGACAUUUUCUUUGUUAACAAACGGAUUAGAACAAGCUUAUAUUUGGGGUUUUGAUCGGGUCCGACAUUUGAACUAAGCUCAUGAGGCAUUUCUAAGUUAUAUUCUUCAAGAAUCAAUGGUUGCAUAUCAUUCAUAUAUAAGUGCAAAAAUUGAUGUAGAAACUGCUGAUUGCCCCUUCAAGGUAUGCUACUGUUGUUUUUCUACUGAUCUUGUGCAUGAUGCAAAGACUUCCAAUCACAAGCCUUUCAUGUGAAUCCUUUUGUUUCGUUGGAACUUGUAAAAACACCUUAAUAACAUUGACAGUAUUUUUGUAAUCCUGUUUCUAUGAUCUGUUUCCACUACCAUGUAGCCAGGUCGCUUUGGGUAAAGGCAUCUGCUAAAUGGCAUAUAUUAUUAAAGUCUC